CCCAAGGUGUUGGGGACCCUAGGGAUGCUGACUCUGGUGCUUUGCAAUUGCUCAGGUAAAAGAUCAGUGUGGAGGUGGGUAUAAUCUACUCUGACUCCUUGGAAGACUGACUGGAGCCAUGGAGAGGAACUAGAGUGAGCUGGGGACACCAAGAGGUGAGACCUGCAAGAGCUCUCCUGCUGGACCUCCCUUACCCACAGCUCCUCUCUCCUGGAGGUCUCUACAUCCAGCCUGUGUCCAGGGAGAGCAGCCUGGACUCACUGCCAAAACCCUUAUUGGCUGGAGGUGGCUGAUCCCACCUGCUGCUGGGCAGAGAAAGGCAAGGCAGGAGGGUCCUGGCUCUCUCAGCUGUGAUGUGCUCUGCUCCCAUGAGAAAAGAGAGGGGCAGGAGGGGAAACAGCCCCCAAGGAAGGAGCAGGUCUGUGGAGCAGGUAAGGGUCACAUGAAGACUGUCAUGAGACCCAGCAUCCCUCCAGCCACCACUGUCCAUUUUGUUUGUCCCCCCCAACCACCUCACAAUGUAAAAUCCUAAAAACCCUAAUCCCCCUCAGCCAGAGGGCAGGGAAUGGUGUGGCACACACAGCCCUGCUCAGCCAGCUCUCAUGAAGAUGAAUGAUCCUAUUUGAUGUGAUGACAUAGCCUUGGAGAUAUCCAGCAAGGGAGAAGAGGAACACCCUUCUCUCUAAAUUAUUUGUACCAAAUAGCUCUGACUGCAACCACCUUUUUGCUAAUAAAGAUUGGUUUCUAAUUGAUCUCUGCAGCACUGGCUGCUCCAGACACAGUGGGAUUUGGAAGUUAGUGGGAGACUCAUAGAGGUUAAAUGAGGAGAGAGAAAGCAACAUUCCCAGUCAGUCUUGCACUCAGUUUCCUUUCCAUACCACUGAAAAAGCAGCCCCAGGGAAGAGCUACAGCCAGAGCACUUACUAGGGUCAAGGUUCAUAGGACAGGGCAAGAGAAAGCACAACCUCAAAUAUCUUCAUUUUCAGAGCCAGGUCUUGUCAUGUGGGGACACAGGGUUUUGGAAAGGAUUCCCACCUUCUUGACCUCAAGGACUGGUGUAUGUAGCUGGAAUUUUGCUGAGCCCAGUGGCUGCCAGAGAGCCCAGAAGAGGGCAGCAAUACCGUGCAGGAAGCUGGAACUUUUUAACAGAAAUUGGGUCCUUUUAGAGGACAGAAGUUCUGGAUCUAAAAUGCAGCAGAAGGAGGGGCUUGUUCUGCUUUUUAGCAUAGAAUGGAACUCAGAGCAGGGGCAUUGGCCUAGCUCCAGGCUUGUGCUCAGUAGUUUCAGGGCAUGAAGCUGUCCCAAGAAAUUUCACAGGAAAUCUGGGCUGGGCAACUGUUUACUGAGGUUCAACAAAGAGACCAGUGCAAUUCAUCCACAGUAUCCUGGGCAGGAAUGCUAGGAGGUAUCUGGAGCUGACAGGAGGGAUAGAAGCUAAGUGUUUCAAGUCUUGACCAGCCUUCCUUCUCUGCCAAGGUGGUCAGGCACUGUCACAGGCUGCCCAGAGAAAUCGUAGAACCAACACCCCUGGAACCGUUCCAAAAACCUGCAGGUGUGGCACUAGUGGACAUGGGUUUUGGUGGGCUUGGCAGUGCUGGGGGAACGGUGGACUUGAUCUUGGAGGGCUGUUGCAACGUGAACAGUUCUACGCAGUGGAGGUAGAGUAGGGGGUGAGUGUAUGGUUUUGUGAAGGCAGGACUGUGAGCCUUCAAGGUGGGAGCUGCAGGAAGGAGCUUGCAGGAGGGCCUGUGUUUCCCUAUAAAGCUCCAUACUUCUGCUGCUCCUCACAGCUCUUCAGUCUCUGGGGCUGCAGAAGGGGUUUAAACACAACUUUGGCAUCAGUAGGCUGAAAGUGUAGAAAAAGGAAGUGCCAGCUUCCAGGAUCGCUGAAUCAGGGACAGUGGAGACCUUGAAGAAAGGAGAUGGGGGAAGAGGUGAGUCAGUUCUGGGUCUGUCCCCUAAAUUUCUCUGCUGGACUGGAGGUGAAGCCCCCAGAGUAAAUAUGUGCAUUUCCAGAGACACUGGGACAGAGAAGCACUGGGGCUCCCUCUCUGCUGUGGAGUUUGGAUGUGCUCAACCUCCUCACUCACUCCCAGCUUCUCCCCUCUGCAAAAUCCUGAAGAGGGCUGCAUAUAUAGAGGGUGCUGGCACUGCCCAGGCUCCCCAGGGAAUGGUCCUGGCCCCGAGGCUGCCAGAGCUCCAGCAGCCUUUGGACAGUGCUGCCAGGGAUGCACAGGGUGGGAUUGUUGGGUGGUCUGUGCAGGGCAAGGAGUUGUACCUGAUGAUCCUGUGGGUCCCUUCAUACUCAGGGUAUUCUGGGUUUCUAUGAAACCCCUUUGGAAUGACCCUGUAGAGCUGCAGCCCAAACCACACCAUGCUAAUGAGGCACAGCUAAUGCCCCUCUGCUGCCUUGAGGAGGCUGAGCCGGUGCCAGGGACCCAGCAGAGUGUCACGAGGCCAGCUUGGCACUGCAUGGCAUGAGGAGGCAGUGGCAGCUGCUCCCAAACUCAGCUCAGCUUGCAGGGGGAACAGAUUCCUUCUGACUAAUCUUGAGACAAGUGUAAUUAGCAGGUCUGUGGCAGGGGCUGGGGUCUGGGGCAGGGUCUGUGGCUCUCGCCUGUCCCCAGCUGGGUGGGCUGGACUGGGAGUUCACAGAUCACACAAUAUUCCGAGUUGGAAGGGACCCAUAAGGAUCAUUGAGUCCAAGUUGAUGAGGAAGGAGAGUCUGGUUCUCAAUACAAGCUGGUUCACCCCUACAAUCCAGGGCAGAUCAAAAGCCUGACAGUGAAAUUCCCAAUACCCAAGUCAGUCUCCUCCUGGAGGGUUCAAAGAACCGAGCCAUGGAAGAGGUUUGAGCCAAGCAGGACUGGUGGCCUGGAGAUGGGCAAAUGUCCAGCAUGGCUGGAACAAGCCCAGGUCUGGCACACAGGUCUGUGAGUGUCCUAGGAUUCCUGUCCUAGGAUUCAUGAAAACCCUUUUUCAGUUCAUCAAGUUUUGUGUGUUUCUGGUGCUUCCCUAAACCAUGUGAUAGUUUAAACCCCUCUGCCUUGCUGGGGCUGCCGUUCCCCCAAUGAAUGUGAUAAACAAAGGCUGCUCCUGUUUGGGUUUAAUUCAAAAGCCUGUUAAGCACCCAUGUUACUUUCAGCAUCUGGGGCUGUUUGUGUCAGUAUAGGUUUAGAUGCUUCCCUGGACUGGGAUCUAUGAAAAAGACCAAGAUCAUUAGGAAAACCAAAGGGAUUUUUGGUGUGGGGUGAUAAGACAGUAAGUGGCAGCAACACAACUACUUGCAAUCAUCUGCCCACGCUGCUGCUUAACCAGACUGAGAUAACUAAUUGAUGCUUAUGUUUGCAAGCAAUCAUCUUGAAAAUAUUCUAAUUUAUGUUAGAUUCAGUCCUGCUGGAUCCAAAAAUGUCUCCUGUUAGAGCGAUUCUGUGCAUGUGUGUGCAUAUAAUAGAACCUUUCCAGAAGUAAUUCAGGAACCAAAGUUUCAUCUUUCCUAUGUCCCACAAUAAAUGUAAUUUAAAACAAACAAACAAACAACAGCAACAACAAAAAGUAGUUUGGUCCAGAAUUUAUUUUAUGCCUAAAAUCUAGCCAGAAUGCUGUGAUGAACUAUGUAGGGAAAAGGCAAUGAGAAAAUUUGACUGGCCAGAACGAAAGACAAACAAAAUGUAUGGGAUAAAUAGGAAUACUAAUUUCAAAUGGGAAAACAUUUCAGCACAAAGUAAUGAGACCUGUCAGCUAUAUAGCUGGGGAGAGGUUUUUCUCUGAAAAUGAAAACAUGGUGAAGUUUCUCAAAUUUCUGGAGGUCACAGAGUCAGUCUUACACAGCCAGGGGGAAAGUGCCAAGUACAGCUGAUGCCUAGUUUCUGCAGAGGCCUGAGUCCAGCUGAGAAAAGGUUUAUCCCCUCAGUAAGUUCAGGAUUUAGAUCUUCUCCCCAAGAUGCCAAACACCUUUCCUUUCAUGUACCUCUUCUCUCAUUUUCCUUUCUACCAUCAGCAACUGGAUACCCCAAAGUAUGUCCUGCCUUUGUGUAUGUGGUAAUUGCUGUCCUGGUUGGAAAGAUGGGGGACUCUGUCCUUAAAUAUUGCGGUUUUGCUCCCAUGUAGAUUUUAAUUUUCAAUUUUCUUUGCCUCCAUGCUGUGGAAUGGGUACUGCACAGAUUCACAUGACAGGCCAAGGGAGGACUGGCAGAGCAGAGCUAAAUUGGACCCUCCCAUUGCAUGUUGGUUUCCAUGACAACUGCUCCUUUCUGUGCUCUCAGGAAUUGCUCAAACUAUCCUCCUGCACCAGAGCCCCCCCUUGCUGGGACUGCCCCCCUUGCUGGGGGUCUGAGGGGGCCAAAGGGCUGUAGUGCUUGUCCUGAAGACACAUGGGAUGAGUCAGGGGUGGCACACAGGUGAGGUGAGGUGCUCCAGAGGAAAAUCUACAUAGUGUCCUCAGCAUUCUGGUAUCAGUGGCGAUGGACAGACAUUCCAGAGGGUGAGGCAUUGAAGCAAUUUGGUCCAGUAGAAGGUGGCAGGGGGUGAAAUGAGAUGAGCUUCAAGGCCCUUUCCAGCCCAAACCAUUUUAUGAUUCUAAGGACAGGUUCACAGUCACAGAUAGCUCCUGCCAAAAGGUACCAACAAAGUGGAAAACUCAUUCCUGAUCCUCCCCAGAGGAGAAUGUCUCCUUGGCAGUGCUUUGAUCCCUGAGCUGGACAACAACACUCUUUGAAGAAAUGAGAUGUGGAAAUACUUGUGCAGACAACAAAUCACAGAAGCGAUUCGCUUUGAACUCACCCGAAAUAUGAAUACAGAGCUGCUCCACCAUCUCAAGUGGACAGAGCUAAUUGUCUGAAUGCUGAUGGGCAAAGGGCUUCUUUGCCAGCACUAUCAGUAGGCAGCAAUUAAUUAAAAGUGUUCCUGGGUAAUUUUGCAUAUCUUUUCUUUCAAGCUCAAAACGACUUAGUCUGCUCUUCCUCCUCCAAGGAUAAAGCACUUACUGACAUAUGCAAGAUGAAGGAGAUAAUUAAUGCACUUUACUCACUACUGAGUUCUCAGCUGGACACUGGGGUUUUUUUGUAUCAUGCCUUAAAAGACAACAAAUUAGAGAGGUCCCUGCCUGAACCACUCCCUCCACAGAACUGUGGGGUCAAGUGUGUUCAGGUCAGGUCAGAAAAGGUUAAGGGGGCAGGGGUUAUCAGUCCCAGAAAUGGUGUUUUAUAAAUGACCGUUCACAUACACUGAAGGACAAGUGAGCAUAUCAGCAUAAUUUAUAGAAUCAUAGACUGAUGGGCUAGGUUGGGACUUAAAAUCAACUGCUCUGACAAGACACUGGUUCUCAGAGAGCUUAAACCUUCAGCAAACCCUUGGAGAAACCCCUUUAAUGUAUCACCCACUGUCAUCUGAGUUCAGUAAUUUAAUUCUCAUUGCAUGAUAAUCUAAUAUCCAACCAAAACCUUGGAACAGCCUGGUCUACUGGAAGGUGUCUUUGCCCAUGCAGGAGAUUGGAACUAGAUGGUUUUUAAGUGAAACCACCUGGAGCUCAAGUUGCUGACCUCACCACGAAGUGCCACAGUGGUUCUGUGCUUGGCCUCAUGUUCUGAGGCAGCUUUGCCUUGGUGGGAAGGUACUGGGUUUCUUGCACAGUCUUUCUGGGGCUGUAAUUAGGGGCUGUGAUUAUUUCAGCACUGUAGGGUUUGUUUUGCAUUGCACAGACUUUGGGGAGGUCAGAGCAAGGAUCUUGAUGGGUCACUGAGGUGGCUGGAGGAAGAAGCCAAAGUCAUCCACAGCCCUCCUGCUGCACUUUUGUGAUUCUUGCAGUUAGUGCAGAGCAGGCAAAGCAGUCACAAUUAAAACAAUACCUAUUCAAGAUGAAAUUAUAAUUACUGAGGUGUUUUUAUGCAUAUUUGGCAAACACUGAGGAGCUGAGCAACCACCCUGAAUCUCCUGGUGCAAAGGCUGUUCUCAACUAUAGUUACGGCUCAAUGCAAUACAAUUUUCAUGUUUCUAUUUUAGUUCUUUUCAUUUAUUGCCUCUUUUCUGCCUUUUUGUUGUUUUUAGGAUGAGUUGCAUCCUGUUAAGCAUGCUGUGAACUCUCUUACAGUGAUUUCUCUGUAAAUGUUGAGUAAAAUGCUUUCGGCCACAUGAGAGAGGCAGAGACCCAGCUGGACUCUCCUGGCUGCUGUCCCUGGGCUGGGCUGUGUUUUGUGGUGCUCAGCUGGCCUUGAGUGACCACAAUGGGUAGGUGGUGCCAACAGCAGGUACUUUCUGCAGCACUCUUCAUCCAGCCCAUAAGUUUCCUCUGGCACAUCUGACCCAUCACAUCUGAUUCUCCUGGAAAAGAGUUCCCACACAGCAAUGUCUCAUUUAACACAGUCAAGGGAGACAGGUGCUCUUCUGUCAAGAUCCUCAAGCCUUUCCCAGUAAUACAGUCUACUCCUUUUUCCCCAGCAAGCUCUUGCCCUGGGCAGGUUGAUGGUUUGAUCACUGUACUUGUUCACUUGUUUCUGCAUUUGAAGCAGAGGUUUCUGUGGUCACACGACGCAAAGGGACAACUUGGCUGGGUAAUGCUGCUACAAGCUAGAGAAUAUCAGCAUCACAUCUAUUUUUUGGUGUUUGCUCUCACCUGACUUGGCCAUUCGAUUGGCAGCUUCACGGGAUUACCUUCCUCACUGAGAGGAAUGUGUGGGUCCCACAGGCCUGGUAGUCAUGGUUGUGUGAUUCAGAGAAUCCCAAAAUGUCCUGAGCUGGAAGCAACACACAGGAUCAUUGGGCUCAACUCCUGUUGAGAGCCCAGACCCCCCAGCAAUCCCACCCUGGGGACCCUGGCAGCGCUGUCCAAAGGGUCC